ACUCUCUUCCGAUCUGUCCUAUUACACCUAAGGCCAACUUCCAUUCACCAAACCCAGGUUCAUCUCGUGUAGUGAUUGUGGACUCGUACAAGGAUAUGGAGUCGACGGUUGAUGUAUCAGACUCGACCCUGUCUUUCGUAGCAUGCAUUCUCAUCUGUGUUGCAACUGAUUCGGUAAGCUACGUGUCCGGUGCACGGAAAACUGCCUUCGGUCUCCCAACCUUACUCAUGGCAACC